rnacentral:rRNA from 1 species
CCUACGGGGGGCAGCAGUGGGGAAUAUUGCGCAAUGGGGGAAACCCUGACGCAGCAACGCCGCGUGAGUGAGGAAGGACUUCGGUCUGUAAAGCUCUGUUAAUGUGGAAAAAUGGUAGUUGGUCUAAUAGGCCGAUUAUUUGAUGGUACACAUAGAGGAAGCACCGGCUAACUUCGUGCCAGCAGCCGCGGUAAUACGAAGGGUGCAAGCGUUGUUCGGAUUUAUUGGGCGUAAAGCGCGCGUAGGCGGACCUGUAAGUCAGAUGUGAAAUCUCGGGGCUCAACCUCGAAACUGCGUCUGAAACUGCAGGUCUAGAAUCUUGGAGGGGGAAGGGGAAUUUCGCAUGUAGGGGUAAAAUCCGUAGAUAUGCGAAGGAACACCAGAGGCGAAGGCGCCUUCCUGGACAAGUAUUGACGCUGAGGCGCGAAAGCGUGGGGAUCAAACAGGAUUAGAUACCCGAGUAGUC